AAUAAUUUGAUAAUUACACAAUUAUCUAAUUUACUGUGAACUGUUUUAAUUAUGACGCAUAAGGGGAUGACUAUAUACCAUAGGGUAGGUAUAUAGAAUGUUAACCUAGUCAUAGUCAAGCUUGAUGCUUGGUACCCAUUAUUAUUUACCAAAAGAAUUCAGAUUAAAUAAUGUAACAUAGAUCUAAACAAUCUAUAAAA
rnacentral:misc_RNA from 2 species